GAUGAACGCUGGCGGCGUGCCUAAUACAUGCAAGUCGAGCGAACGGACGAGAAGCUUGCUUCUCUGAUGUUAGCGGCGGACGGGUGAGUAACACGUGGAUACCCUACCUAUAAGACUGGGAUAACUUCGGGAAACCGUAGCUAAUACCGGAUAAUAUUUUGAACCGCAUGGUUCAAAAGUGAAAGACGGUCUUGCUGUCACUUAUAGAUGGAUCCGCGCUGCAUUAGCUAGUUGGUAAGGUAACGGCUUACCAAGGCAACGAUGCAUAGCCGACCUGAGAGGGUGAUCGGCCACACUGGAACUGAGACACGGUCCAGACUCCUACGGGAGGCAGCAGUAGGGAAUCUGCCGCAAUGGGCGAAAGCCUGACGGAGCAACGCCGCGUGAGUGAUGAAGGUCUUCGGAUCGUAAAACUCUGUUAUUAGGGAAGAACAUAUGUGUAAGUAACUGUGCACAUCUUGACGGUACCUAAUCAGAAAGCAACGGCUAACUACGUG
rnacentral:rRNA from 1 species